UACAGAGGUGCCGAGCGUUAGGCGGAAUCACUGGGCUUAAAGCGUGUGUAGGCGGACCUUAAGUACCUUGUGAAAUCCCCCCGGCUCAACCGGGGGAACGGCUGGGUAUACUGGCGGUCUUGAGCCAUCCAGGGGCAGUCGGAACAGACGGUGGAGCGGUGAAAUGCGUAGAUAUCGUCUGGAACGCCGAAGGUGAAAACAGACUGCUGGGGGAUGAGCUGACGCUGAGACACGAAAAGCCCAGGGGGAGCGAACGGG
rnacentral:rRNA from 1 species